GAGUCUCAAGUCGUGCUUGCACAAAUGUAGCCUUCUCGACACACGGUGCGUGAUGGGAAUUUAGUUCGAGUGCAAGGAGUCGUGCACUCACAGAAUGCCGCAAAAGGGGAGCAUAAAAUAAAAUGGGAAAUAUGUUACUCACCAUUCACUUAUAUAUGACAACGGAAGGCUGUGUGCUUCCCCGAGACAACCUACUUUUUUUCGAGGAUUCCACUUUGACUCACAAAAUCAUAAACAUAUUUAUGUAAAAUGAAGUAAAAACAAAAUUUUCUGUGGACGUUAAGACAGUAAUAAAA